GUGGAAAGCUCAUCCCUUUGCUGGAAGUGCUCUCUAUGUGUGUUCGACUCUGUGAGAUGUCAGCUGCCAUUAGAGAAACUUGAAUGCACUUUUUAUGACAGAUGGAAGUGAUAGGCAUUGACCCAUCCAGACAUCUUGUGCCUCCUUUACUGAUGCUGUUUAGAGCAAAGCACUGGGACUCUUGACUCCCAACUCGUGCACACUGUGGCUUAUUGGUGACUCCUGAACUGCAAUAUGGGACUCAGUAAAAUGGGAGUAUAAAUGGGACACUGCUGGGAGAGAUUUUUCAGACCCAAGUGACUCUAAACAUAGAAAAUAUAGCUCUUUUUCUCUUUAGGCCUGCAACUAGGCAUGUUUGUAGUAUCUGCCUGGCUUGGACCUGGCCUUGCAGAAGCCCACAUCUGAGGAGUCAGUCCCCCUACAACUGCUGUGCUGCUGGAGAACAGAGAAUGACAUACUCAGUGUCUCCAGCCUCCUGCCAAGGACAGAGCAUUGGAGUCUCCAGCAGCUCAGCCUAUGCCCACCCACGACAGCCUCACUGGCAUCAUCACCUUCAACAUGAAGCACGCUCUGUCCACGAGAGGCUGGGUGAUGCACAGCAGCAGCAAGACCCGGGGAGAGAAGGAGCUGCCUUGCAGUGCACGUUGUGCUGAGAAAUUUGUUUUGUGUGUGUUUUCCUUCUGUAUCUGGAGCUCUCUGAGCUCUGCUGGCUGCCAGAAGCCUCAGCACCUCUUCGCGCAGCAGCAUGAACAACAGGCAGCUGGCAGAAAGCACAGCAGCCAGCAGUAUUUUCCUUUUGACCUCAAUUCCCCAGCACAAUUGCUCGGACUUUCCCUUAGCUCUGUGUCAUCUCUCUGUCACAAAUAACUUUUCACCUGUGAUAAAAAGAGGCAAGCCUGAAUGGGAGAGGGGAAAAAAAAAAAGGAAGGCAGAAAGUUUUCUGUGCAGAGAACUUCUCAGUGCUUAAAGACAGGUGGUAUGGAAAUGCUGUUUCACAGAAGCAGAAAACAACACUUGGGAGGGUUCUGCAUUACCACGAGAGCACAUGCAGCUCCUAGGCUCCAGUCCUGGCCCUUCCCGGAGGCUUCUCUCUUUGUCUGGGAAAAGAUGCAUGGUUACUCUGCUUGCUUGCUCCAGGGAUCUCUGGUGAUGCGUUUUCUGGCCAAAAUGCAAACUGAAAUCAGAACUGCGGUUUGUCCCUGAGGGCACAGGAGCCAGUGGGUGGUUUGCUGUCACUGUCCCAGCUGUGGAUGGAGAGCAAUGGCACCAGCCUGUGUGGCUGUUGUACUGCCAGCAAAAAUUUAAGAAUAAUGCUUAGAAGGGUAUCAAAGAACAAGAAGCCUGGUAAUGAUUUUGCAAUAACUCUGUGCUGAGGAUUUCUCCAUCUUUGACGCUUUCCAGGAAAACUGAACUCUUAAUUUUUCAGUGGUGCCAAAACAGCCAAGUUUCAAAAGGCUGAUUAAUAUGAAGUGGCCAGGACAGGGGAAUCAGAGUUCAGCUUCUAAUAUGAAAGCUAUAGAAUGAUAGUGGCAAAACAUUGUUUUCUUCUUUAACCUACGUUUGAAAGCAUCACUGCACCUGCAGGGUAUGUCAAAGGGAACUUGUAUCGCUCUCUAACAGGAAAGACUCACUCAAGCACUGACAUACUUAUCUUAUUAGUAUUUUACCAUACUACAAAAAAAAACCAAACCAGAACAAGACUUCCUGCAACCCACCAGAUAUGCACGGGAAUUAUAUCACACCUUUCACGUCAGCUGCUGAGCACCUCUCCUAUGCAGCUGACCUAAAGUAGAAAAAGGAGUUGAUUCUCUGGUGGUGAGCAUUUUUCCUGAGGGCAGUGGUAAUGUUUCCUCCUCUAGUGAAACAA
ensembl:lncRNA